AUGUACUCAACGAUUGUCACCGUACAAGCAACUAAAUGCCGCUUCCACUCGCAAGAGUUUCAUUCCCUCCGUUUUCUACUCACCUUAAAACCCUAAGGAUGUCGAUCACCAGGCGUUCCUCCCGAUCCUGCUCUUUCGACGCCGAAAGCAACAACUCGGAGCCCAAUCCAGGUUCCGAGUCUUCUGCUGAUGUAUCUCGUGAAAGCAGUCGUGUUUAUGUGAGGAGGAAGAAAACUAAAAUGGUUGUUGACGUCGAUGGGGAGAAAAUAAUGGAAGAAAUUGCUGGUAGAAAAGUGAGUGGCAUGAUUGACAUUGAAGAUUUUGCUUAUGAUAAGUUCAACCAAUCUGCAACUUCCAGUGAUGUUAAGCAGAUUUCUCCUUUGUCUGCUAAGAAGAGGGAAAAAGUUCACCUAUCCAUCAAACAGAAAGCCAACGUGCCAGCAAAUUGGGAAGAAAUUUUUGAUGGGAUAAUGAAGAUGAGAUCAGCAGGGGAUGCUCCGGUAGACACUAUGGGAUGUGAAAAGGCAGGCAUAUUGUUGCCGCCUAAGAUACCCCCAUAUGUACCCUAACCCUACCCCUUUAAAUUGGGUACCCUAUAGGUACCCAGUUAAGUGGUUAUCCAGUGUCAUUCUUAGGUGGAUGACUUUGACCAUAUUGAGCUUCACGGUGAAUCCAAGAAGAUCCAUAUGCAAAGGGUGCAAAGACCUCAUCUUGAAGUGUGUUUCACCUGAGACUGUCGAACUUUGUCCUAAUAUCCUGCCUGAAUCGGUUGCAUCCAGCUCAUGUGACUGGGAUUAUCCUCCUUCAUUACAAUUAAUGGCACAGGGAACGAAGAUUUGCAGUUUUGGUAUCUUCUCUUCUAUCAAGCCAAACGAAAGAUGCAGUAACGAAUGGUGCAAUAAAGCGUCUCUCGGAUAAUGGAUUACUCAAUCCUGGAGCUCUUGUCAAAACUGAUGAAGCUACAAUUUCUAGCUUAAUUUAUCCUGUGGGUUUUUAUUCCCGGAAGGCACAUUACUUGAAAAAAGUUUCAGAGAUUUGUCUAGAAAAGCAUGAGGGAGACAUCCCUUGUUCCUUAAACGAACUGCUUGCACUUCCUGGAAUAGGCCCCAAAAUGGCCCACCUGAUAAUGAAUGUUGGAUGGAACGAUGUUCAAGGGAUAUGUGUGGAUACUCAUGUGCAUCGCAUCUGUAAUCGUCUAGGAUGGGUUUCGCGUAUUGGCACAAUUGAGAAAACCUUGACUCCAGAAGAAACGAGAGUGUCUCUGGAGAAAUGGCUACCAAAGGAUUUAUGGGAUCCAAUUAACCCCCUGCUGGUUGGAUUUGGACAAACCAUAUGCACUCCUGUCAGACCCCGAUGUGGAACCUGUGGUAUCAACAAGAUCUGCCCUUCUGCUUUCAAGGAACAAGAAAUUCCUAAUGCCAAAGCUAAAAGAUCAAAGAAAUAGGAAACCCUAAUUGUCAGAUUAAAUAUCUUGCAUUUUGUUUAGUGUUCACUACAAGAGUCUCUGUCCUCCAUUGAUCUAUAUUUUGAUGCUUGUUGCAGUUGUACAGGUCUUAAGAUGCUCGUUUGGCCCUUUCAGAUGUACACAUCUGCUUUUGAUAUUGUAUACAAAUGGUUGUCAAUGUCUUAUUUAAAAGCUUUUUGAACAGGGAUCUGCAAAAAAUUGUUGUAAUUUUCAAGUGAUGAAAUUCAAGGUGAGAAUAGAAAACCCACUACAGGCUAGAUCCUCUGGUCUGUAAUUUGGAUCUGGUCUGUAAUUUGCGGAUCAGAGGAUGAUUUGUAAAUUUUGAUUUGUUAAUUUUGAUGGAUUCUCAAUGUAUGUAGUGGAUCAUCCUUUGAUUUGUAAUUUAUGGAUAAGAGGAUCUGUCCUUAACCUACUAAGGUGAUGAAUUGCAUAAUAAUUCCAUAUGAAAGGUUUCAUUAGGAGGCUGUUAUUUAUCAGUUUU